UACAGAGGUCUCAAGCGUUGUUCGGAUUCAUUGGGCGUAAAGGGUGCGUAGGCGGCGCGGUAAGUCGGGUGUGAAAUCUCGGAGCUUAACUCCGAAACUGCAUUCGAUACUGCCGUGCUUGAGGACUGGAGAGGAGACUGGAAUUUACGGUGUAGCGGUGAAAUGCGUAGAUAUCGUAAGGAAGACCAGUGACGAAGGCGGCCAUCUGGACGACAACUGACGCUGAGACGCGAAAGCGUGGGGAGCAAACAGG
rnacentral:rRNA from 1 species